ACACUGUGUGACUUUCACACAGGCGAGCAUGGGUGGUCUGCUGGGAGUUUGCAGGCCGCGCCGGUCAAACAAACUGUUGCUCGGACCGAGGCUGACACCUGUUGGACAACAAGCUCCGAAGGUCACAAGAAGCACAAAGUUAUCUUGACAGCCAGGUCUCAAGGAUCUCUCCUCCCAGGGAGUUGUUGCUUCACUCCCGUAAAGCAACAACUACCGAGCCAAUUUUAAAUUAUGUUUUGUGAAUGUGUGGGGCUUGACAUAAAAGAAGAGCCUAUUUAAUUUGGGUGCGGAUCCAGGAGUUUUUAUAACAUUGAGAGAUUUCCAAAAUUCAUGGAUCUGGCAUGUUUAGGAGACUGCUGUAUGGAGCCAAAGGAAAUCAGAGAGGACAACACACACUUGUACACAAAGACAAAAGUAAACAUCACAGUAAAAAAAAAAAAUGCUGUCGAGCUUCACGUUGUGCAAAUAAAAAAAACAAAAACAAUGCUCAUCUUCUCCGAGAUGAGGCGUGUCACAGCCGGUCUCCUCUGCCUGCUCCCGAGUGAUAUGCAUGUUUCCUUAAAAUGGAUUAUACCUCAGCGAAGUCCGAGUGUCUUUUCUAUUUCAAUCAGUGGCCAUAUCAUUUCACACUGUUAAGCUUAUAAGCUGACAAAUGACGAUUUGGGACUUCUCACCCGGACACUUGCUCACGGCACAGUCGACCUCACACAGAAACGGCAGAGAUGUGAUGAUGGUAACGGAUGCAACACCCUGAGAACAUGGCACCAUGGACUGUCCCACAAAAAAAGACGUUGAAGUUUAGAAUCGAUGAACAUUGUGACAGAACUAAAAACAGAUUGUGGUGCAUAGAACAAUCUUUGAGGCAGAGGAAGCAAAAUGGUGGCCGUGAUUAACCAGCAGGGGGCGCUCUGCUGCUUUUUUUCAAAAAGUCAUUGGACAGGAGCUGAAGUUGUUCAGUAUUAGUGAACAACGAAAUGAUACAAAGAGAAAGAAGGAUGUAAUUCAUAAAACCAGUGCAGUGUGUGUAGGAGAGUUAUAUAUAUUUUUUUCAGAUCAGCCACAGGAGCUGGGAUUUCACCGACACGGGACACAAGUUGCAGCGGGAAACAUAAAAAGAUGUAAGAAAACGAAGGGUAAAUAAUUCACAGACGAUUCGACAACACUUUGGCGACUUGUAACCCUGUUGGCGCUGAGACACACACACACACACACAAUAUGAGACAGUUCAGAGAGCCGCCGCCGUCCUCCUGCUCUGAAAGAUGUGUCCUUUGCGUCUUGAUUCGGUCCAAUCCCGUUUUUUAAGUCUCAUUUGUUUGAUUUGAUUGUCUUUAGAGUCAUCGACCAGUUGAGCCAGAAAUAAAAAGCCAGCAA